CGAGCGCAAGGCAGCCACGACGGGACAGAGGCCGAAGCCUCGCGCGCACUCGCUCCGCCUUCUCUCGUGUCGCGUCGCGUAUAAAAGCGGCCGCCCCGGACCCCGGCGACGCCCACCAAGAUUCCAAGAACCAUGGCCUCCGCACCCUGCUCCAACUCUUCCCCCGCCGCCAGAGCCCCGAGAUCCGCCGCUGCCGGCAACAAGAAGCCGACGACGUGCCUCUGCUCGCCGACGAGCCACCCGGGGUCGUUCCGCUGCAGCCGGCACCGGAACGGGGCCGCCGCGCCGGGCGGCGAGGCGGCGCACGGCGCCAGCAGGGGCGGCACUGCUGGCAGGGCGGCCAAGGGGCGGUCCGUGCGCGCGCUGCUGCUCCAGAGGAUCGGCGGCGGCCCCAGCGAGCUCGGCGGCCGCCGCCGCCGCUGCCGUCGCGGGGUCGGCGACUUCCAGCCGCGGCCCUCCAGGCUGCGCCUCAUGAACCAGUGACGCCGGCGGGCCUGCUUCGGUCUCGUCGCUGCUCCUCCUGAUCUAGCGCCGGUGGUGCGCCACUAUUUCGCGCGCACGCAUCGGUUCGACGACGCGACGCUAGAUCGUACUACGUUCUUAGCAGAAUAAAGAGCAAAAACUGUCCGUACUGUACUCGUAGCCUGCAGAUCUGGAACUGUGUGUACAUAGUGUCGAUGAAGACGAAGCAACGUGGUUCGUUCCUCCAUUUCUGAUGGCUCCAUGUAUGCCUAUGGUCUGUAACUCUGUACUCCUUGUGUUUUUUUAGAGAGGAAAGAAAGAAAUCCAUGGAAGAGUGCAUAUGGUGUU
rnacentral:misc_RNA from 1 species